rnacentral:rRNA from 1 species
CAGGCCUAACACAUGCAAGUCGAGCGGACUUAUCCUUCGGGAUAGGUUAGCGGCGGACGGGUGAGUAACACGUAGGCAACCUGCCUGUAAGAUCGGGAUAACUACCGGAAACGGUAGCUAAGACCGGGUAGCUGGUUUCUCCGCAUGGGGGAAUCAUGAAACACGGGGCAACCUGUGGCUUACGGAUGGGCCUGCGGCGCAUUAGCUAGUUGGUGGGGUAACGGCCCACCAAGGCGACGAUGCGUAGCCGACCUGAGAGGGUGAUCGGCCACACUGGGACUGAGACACGGCCCAGACUCCUACGGGAGGCAGCAGUAGGGAAUCUUCCGCAAUGGGCGCAAGCCUGACGGAGCAACGCCGCGUGAGUGAUGAAGGUUUUCGGAUCGUAAAGCUCUGUUGCCAAGGAAGAACGCCUCGGAGAGUAACUGCUCUGAGGGUGACGGUACUUGAGAAGAAAGCCCCGGCUAACUACGUGCCAGCAGCCGCGGUAAUACGUAGGGGGCAAGCGUUGUCCGGAAUUAUUGGGCGUAAAGCGCGCGCAGGCGGUCUUUUAAGUUUGGUGUUUAAGCCCGGGGCUCAACCCCGGUUCGCACUGAAAACUGGGAGACUUGAGUGCAGGAGAGGAAAGCGGAAUUCCACGUGUAGCGGUGAAAUGCGUAGAGAUGCGGAGGAACACCAGUGGCGAAGGCGGCUUUCUGGACUGUAACUGACGCUGAGGCGCGAAAGCGUGGGGGGCAAACAGGAUUAGAU